AUUGAACGCUGGCGGCAGGCCUCACACAUGCAAGUCGAACGAGCGGCGGACGGGUGAGUCACGUAUGGGAAACUGCACGAUGGAGGGGGACAACUAGUGGAAACGGUAGCUAAUACCGCAUACCAUCGGAUGUGCCCAGAUGGGAUUAGCUAGUAGGUGGGGCAACGGCUCACCUAGGCGACGAUCCAUAGCUGGUCUGAGAGGAUGACCAGCCACACUGGAACGUAGACACGGUCCAGACUCCUACGGGAGGCAGCAGUGGGGAAUAUUGCACAAUGGGCGCAAGCCUGAUGCAGCCAUGCCGCGUGUAUGAAGAAGGCCUUCGGGUUGUAAAGUACUUUCAGCGAGGAGGCGUUACUCGCAGAAGAAGCAUCGGCUAACUCCGUGCCAGCAGCCGCGGUAAUAC
rnacentral:rRNA from 1 species